GGGCGUGUAGUUCAGUGGUAGANNUACAUUGACAUUGUAGAGGUCUCCAGUUCGAAUCUGGACAGGCCCACCU
rnacentral:tRNA from 1 species